GCUCAGUAGUAUAGCACUUGCCUAGCAUGUGUGAAACCAGGGAUUCCAUACCCAACACCACGAAAGUUAAAAAAAGAAAAUUAAAAAUGCAGUUUAAAAAGCAAAACCUCUUGAAAUGUGCUUUUUGCACAGAGGCUAAAAUAAUAUGGAGAAAUCACUGAAGAUGAAAAAAAGAUUAAGUGCAACAGCUAUGAAUUUUUUUUUUUUUUUGGUACUGGGGAUCGAACUCGGGUCCUUGCGCUUGCAGAGCAGGCAGCAAAACCACUGAGCUAAAUCCCCAGCCCUACAGCUAUGAAUUUUAAAGUCAUAACUACAUGUACAUAAUCUCCUAGACAAAGACACACUGGAAUUUGAUACAUUUAGUGUUCCUCUGCGUUGGUAUCAUGGGUUCCCCGGAAAUAAAGGGCCCUCAGUUUACCAAGCUGUUUUUCAGCAGCUGCUGCUAACAUCAAUGUCUUACUUUCUCAUUGCUGAGAUAAAAAACCCUACCCCCACAACUGCAAGGAGAACACGUUUAUUUUGGCUCUCGGUUGGAGGGGUUUCAAUCCAUAGCCGGCUGGCUCCAAGGCCGGUGACCUGGCAGAGGGGCACAGCAGAGGAGAAAGAGCUCAGGGUAUGGCAGCAGGAAGCAGAGAGAGAUCAAGGGAAGAGGAAAGGACAUAUACCCUUCUAGGCCACGCCCUCAGUGACCCACCAUCCUCAAACAGGCAACUCCCCAUGUCAUAUUUAGCUAUCAGCUCAUCUGUGGAUGAUCCAAUCACCUCCCAAAAGCCCCCACCUAUGAGCACAAGGAGACUUUCAGGGGAACCCUUAGAUACAAACUGACACAGGAAGAGCUGGGCCCCAGCCAGGGAACAUUUCCCUUUCAGGAGCCUCUGAGCAUCCACAGCCUCUCCAGAGCCUUAGCUCAACCAGGGUGACAAACACACCCUGCUGAGCCUUCCCACGUGACAUCAGCUAUCAAUGCCUGAUUCCAGCACUACUGCAAGUGUGAGUAGCUUCCUCAAAAUUUUUGAAAUUUUAAAGUCUUUGACAUGAACAAGAUAUCAAGAUGCAAGAGGCAGCCAAGAAUGAUGUCAAAGCUUGAUGAGCUUGAUGUCAAAGCUCAGGGUGUGGCUCAGUGGUAGAGCACUUUCCUAGCAUGCAGGAGGCCCUGUGUUCCAUCCCCGACAUUGAAAAAAAAAAAGUCACGGAUCAGCUAUAAAGCAUACUAAUGAAGCAUAGCCACCCAGCAAUGACAAAACAAUGUUUCAUAAUAUUGAAGGUCCUUAGAGCCAUUAACCCCUCUGCUUGUAUCUCUUGUCUCUCCCCCUCACCCCAGUAACCAGUAUCCUAAAUGUUUAGGAUCAUCUUUAUGGAGGAUUUCUUUAUAAAUUUACCAUGUAUGUAUAUAUCUUUAUAUACUGUCACUUAGCUUUUCUUGUCUGUUAACUUUUUUGGGGGGGGUACCAGGCAUGGAACUCAGGUCCUUGUGCUUGCAAGGCAGGUGGCGGAUCCACUGAGCUAAAUCCCCAGCCCAGUCUGUUAACUUUUUGAAAAAAAAAUUUUUUUUACUUUACAUGUUCUUUUUUUUUUUUUUUUUUUUAAUACCGACUAAGGCAGGACAGAGGUGGAACUUCUGUCUGGAAGCACAUGGCCUGGAAGACAGAGGGACAGAGGGAAAAAGCCUAACUCAAACUGAGCUCAACCAAUGUCUGCAAUCUUGAACAAAGGACCUUCAACUCUCUGAUCCUUCAUUUUCUCAUCUGCAAAUGAGGAUGAUACCCCCUUCCUAAGGUUCUGGUGAGGACUGAAUUGUAUCAACACUGGAUAUGCCACCCUCCCCCUAGUCUCUUAGCCUUCUUAUUUAUCAGAUUGAUUAUCAUGGUAUCACAGUGGUUAUUAUCCUUAUUUUAUUAAUAGUGGCCAAAAGUUCAAGGACAGUGAUACAAAGGAAGCAUCAGAGCAUAGAUGAUGGAAAGACAGAUUAAUUUGAUGCUAUGUGACAAUGCUGCAGGGCACUUAAGAAAAAACAUAUCUACAUAGUGUCAAAACUUCCUGAAGUUUUUGACAUCAACCUGGGGUCUUGGAAUGUAUUUCUCCGGGUAAAGGGUAACUGUUGUAUACUAAAAUUAAAAUUAUAAGUGGGCAGUUGGAUUCCUAUUUUUGUAUUUGUAUUACAAUUUUUGUAGUUUUUGUAUUUUUCUCUUUUGAAGGAUGGGUGCUAGGGACUGAAUCAGGACCUUGCCCAUGCUAAGCACAUACUCUACCACUAAGCCACACCCCCAGCCCUGUAUUUUCCAAAUUUUUGAUAAUGAGUUUUACUCCUGAGAUGAGAAUGAAAACAAUUUGGGGGGGGGCGAGUACCAGGGAUAGAACUCGGAUCCUUGCACUUGCACAGCAGGCAGAGAAAGCACUGAGCUAAAUCCCCGGCCCGAAAACAAUUUUAAUAUUAUUUCAAGAAACCGAAAUGGAUUCAGUCAUUCAUAAAUGCUUGCAAAGCCCAAUUUCAGAUCACAAGUGGGCCAGGGAUUUAGCUCAGUGGUUCCGUUGCUUGCCUUGCAAGCACAAGGACUGGAGUUCGAUCCCUGGUACCAAAAAAAAAAAAACCAGCAGAUCACAAGUGUAGAUGUUGAAGUAGAGAACCAAGGUCUCUGUCAUUACGGAUUAAAGAGUAGGGGGAGGAAGGAGGAAGGGGAGAACCAAGCAGGCAAGCAGGAAACAGGAGGCUUCCCAGCUUGGCCAGAGGAUCCUAGGAAUGCAGGCCCAAGGAAACCUGAGGGUUGAUGGCUGAGGGACAAUAGCCUCAGGCUGCAGAGGAAGGCAUGGACCAGAUCACAGGCCUUUUGUGCAUGACCUUCUAAGUGAGCCUCGAAACUGCUGGACAGGUCUGGGGCAGAGAUUGACCGGUAGAUGCAGGGAUCGAACUCGAGUCCUUGCACUUGCACAGCAGGGGAUGAAACCACUGAGCUAAAUCCCCGGCCCUCUCAGAG
ensembl:lncRNA